rnacentral:rRNA from 1 species
UACGAAGGGGGCUAGCGUUGUUCGGAAUCACUGGGCGUAAAGCGCACGUAGGCGGGUCGUUAAGUCAGGGGUGAAAUCCCGGAGCUCAACUCCGGAACUGCCUUUGAUACUGGAGAUCUUGAGUCCGGGAGAGGUGAGUGGAACUCCGAGUGUAGAGGUGAAAUUCGUAGAUAUUCGGAAGAACACCAGUGGCGAAGGCGGCUCACUGGCCCGGUACUGACGCUGAGGUGCGAAAGCGUGGGGAGCAAACAGG